rnacentral:rRNA from 1 species
GUACGCUGGCGGCACGCCUAACACAUGCAAGUCGAACGCAGUAGCAAUACUGAGUGGCAAACGGGUGAGUAUAAUGUGGGAAUCUGCCUUUUGGUUUGGAAUAACACGGGGAAACUUGUGCUAAUACCGAAUAAGCCCUUACGGGGAAAGUUUUAAUGCCGAAAGAUGAGCCCGCACUUGAUUAGCUAGUUGGUAAGGUAAAAGCUUACCAAGGCAACGAUCAAUAGCUGUUCUUAGAGGAAGACCAGCCACAUUGGGACUGAGACACGGCCCAGACUCCUACGGGAGGCAGCAGUGGGGAAUCUUGCACAAUGGGGGAAACCCUGAUGCAGCGAUGCCGCGUGAGUGAAGAAGGCCCUUGGGUUGUAAAACUCUUUCGUCGGGGAAGAAAAUGACUGUACCCGAAUAAGAAGGU